rnacentral:rRNA from 1 species
ACCUCCACUCAGGCAAGAUUACGCCGUGAACUAAAGCAUUUCAGUAACGGCAGGAAAAGAAAAUAACAAUGAUUCCCUCAGUAACUGCGAGUGAAGCGGGAAGAGUCCAACGUUGAAAGCAGCAGUUGUAACAGACUGCGGCAUUGUAACGUAUAGACCGAUUGUCGAGGUCUGUGGCCGUAUUAAAGUCGCCAAGAAAGGCGCACCAUAGAGGGUUAAAGUCCCGUUCACGAUACGGUGCGCGGAUUGUGAACAAUUGAGUCGUAGAGUCGGGCUGUUUGGGAAUGCAGUCCAAAGUGGGUGGUAAACUUCACCUAAGACUAAAUAUUGCUUCGAGACCGAUAGCGAACAAGUACCGUGAGGGAAAGUUGAAAAGCGCUCUGAAAAGAAAGUGAAAAGUACGUGAAACCGUUAAUGGGGAAGCUGAUAGUGUAGUCGUAGUUUUGCAUGGUUUGUGCUGCAUGAUGAGUGCGGUAGUUAGCUGUGCGAAACGCGCCAGGCUGAUUGAGUGGUUGAUGGCAGUGUGCAUAGUUCGUAUCACUUGCAAUUCCUUGAGGGAUUGCAGUCCUGCGAGUGUGUGUAGUCUGUUAUAGAUUGACUGUUUAAUCAUGUAUAUGUGAGUGUAUGCGUUUUGUUGUUUCGAUGUCGUUGUGGCGUUGUUACGUAGUAACAAUCUGCAGCGGCAUCGUUGCGAUAAAACGUAUGUGCCAUGACGAAUGUCGCAUAUGGAUUCUGGCGAGAUAUGACACUUUCAGACCCGUCUUGAAACACGGACCAAGGAGGCUAACUUGUACGCGAGUUGAGGAGUGGAGAAACUCUGUAGCGUAACGAAAGUGAAAUGUGAGAUCUUGCGUCGAGAGACGUGAGCGCAUCACAGGCCAGUUGAGAGGUUGCUCUCAAUUGAGUUGGAGCGUACAGGCUAGGACCCGAAAGGUGGUGACCUAUUCCUGAGCAGAGCGAAUUCAUUGGAAACAAUGAUGGAGGCUCGUAGCGGUUCUGACGUGCAAAUCGAUCGUCAAACUUGGGUAUAGGGGCGAAAGACUAAUCGAACCAUCUAGUAGCUGGUUCCCUCCGAAAUAUCCCUCAGGAUCGCCGAAACUUUAGACAGUUUCAUCGGGUAGAGCGAAUGAUUAGAGGCUUUGUGGGCUAUUUAUAGUCUCAACCUAUUCUCAAACUGCAAACCGGUGAGCGCAACGGUUUCUUGAUUGAACCAGUUGGAACGAAUGUGUGAGUUUCGAGUGGGCCAUUUUUGGUAAGCAGAACUGGCGAUGCGGGAUGAACCGAGAGUCGGGUUAAAGUGCCCAAAUGUAGGCCUACGGACACCAUAAAAGGAGUUGGUAAAUUAUGACAGUAAGACUGUGGUCCUGAAAGUAGACAUCAGCUAAGGAGUGUGCAACAACUCACUUACCGAAUUUAUCGGCCCUGAAAAUGGAUGGCGCUUAGCCUACUACUGAUACCCGACCGUAGGUGCGAGAAACGUAUCACUUACGGGUAGGAGGGUGCUGUGGUUGCUUAGAAGCUCGUACGUGAGUCCGAGUGGAGCUGCCACAGGUACAGAUCUUGGUUUUAGUAGCAGCGUAUAGAAGUGAGAACCUUCUAGGCCGAAGUGGAGAAGGGUUCCUCGUGAACAGCAGUUGGACGAGGGUUAGUCGGUCCUAAGCAGCAGCUUACAAGCUGAAUAAAAGGAAACGUGUGGUGAUAGCUUUCUUCGAUUGCAUGGCCUCGUUUCAGUCUGCGAAAGGGAAUCAGGUUAAUAUUCCUGAACCAAGUGUCGGAUAGCCGUCGUUGUGAUUGUCAGUGUUGAGUGGAUGGCAACGUCCGCGAGAUGCUGAUGAUGCAGCUUCGGUGAAGCGGUAACGCAAACGAACUCGGAGACGUCGUUGUCAGUUCUUGGGAGAGUUAUCUUUUCUUGUUAACUAGUUGAGUGAGCCUGGAAUAGAGUCAUUCGGAGAUAGGCUUGACAGCUAGGAAGAGCGUCGCAUUUUAGUGGCGUCAGGAAUACUGGCAAUGAUCCUUGAAAAUCCGAGGGAGGGAAUAAUUUUCGCACUUGGCCGUACCGAGAUCCGCAUCAGGUCUCCAAGGUUAAAAGCCUCUGGCUCUAGAAUAAUGUGGGUAAGGGAAGUCGGCAAAAUAGAUUCGUAACUUCGGGAAAAGGAUUGGCUCUAAGGAUUGUGUUGUUUGGAUUGGUUGUUGUUUCGAGCGCAGAUCGUAUACGGGAGUGUGGUUGGCGAACUUCGGUUCGUUCGUCGCGCUUCUGUUAAUGAUUUGACGCUUGUUUCGAUGUCCAGUUUGUAGCCGGGUGGUGAUGGUAGCAGUACUGUCAUCCUCUGUCUGCCUCGCAAGCAGCUAGAAUCAAUCAACUUAGAACUGUCACUGACUAGGGGAAUCCGACUGUUUAAUUAAAACAAAGCAUUGCGAUGGCUAGAAAUGGUGUUGACGCAAUGUGAAUUCUGCCCAGUGCUCUGAAUGUCAAAGUGUGGAGACACAACCAAGCACGGGU